GUAGAAAGUCUAUGUGCUAUCGAUAUUGUUGUUAGCCCUCUGUUUACACGUCUUUGAAGAUUUUUGGCAACGACCUCUUCACUUUGAGAGUCAAGGGCACUUGUUGCUUCAUCCAAAAUGAGAACAGCGGGGUCUAACAAGAAUGCUCUAGCUAAUGC
rnacentral:rRNA from 1 species